UUGCACGCUGGCGGCAGGCCUAACCCAUGCAGGUCGAGCGGAUGAAGGGAGCUUGCUCCUGGAUUCAGCGGCGGACGGGUGAGUAAUGCCUAGGAAUCUGCCUGGUAGUGGGGGAUAACGUCCGGAAACGGGCGCUAAUACCGCAUACGUCCUGAGGGAGAAAGUGGGGGAUCUUCGGACCUCACGCUAUCAGAUGAGCCUAGGUCGGAUUAGCUAGUUGGUGGGGUAAAGGCCUACCAAGGCGACGAUCCGUAACUGGUCUGAGAGGAUGAUCAGUCACACUGGAACUGAGACACGGUCCAGACUCCUACGGGAGGCAGCAGUGGGGAAUAUUGGACAAUGGGCGAAAGCCUGAUCCAGCCAUGCCGCGUGUGUGAAGAAGGUCUUCGGAUUGUAAAGCACUUUAAGUUGGGAGGAAGGGCAGUAAGUUAAUACCUUGCUGUUUUGACGUUACCAACAGAAUAAGCACCGGCUAACUUCGUG
rnacentral:rRNA from 1 species